rnacentral:rRNA from 1 species
CCGCGUGGAUGAUGAAGCCCCUUGGGGUGUAAAAUCCUUUCGGCAGGGACGAAACCCGAGCAAUCGGGCCGACGGUACCUGAAGAAGAAGCCCCGGCUAACUCCGUGC